rnacentral:rRNA from 1 species
UACGGAAGGCAGCAGUGGGGAAUAUUGCACAAUGGGCGAAAGCCUGAUGCAGCUAUGCCGCGUGUAUGAAGAAGGCCUUAGGGUUGUAAAGUACUUUUCAGCGGGGAGGAAGGCGAUGCGGUUAAUAACCGCGUCGAUUGACGUUACCCGCAGAAGAAGCACCGGCUAACUCCGUGCCAGCAGCCGCGGUAAUACGGAGGGUGCAAGCGUUAAUCGGAAUUACUGGGCGUAAAGCGCACGCAGGCGGUCUGUUAAGUCAGAUGUGAAAUCCCCCGGGCUUAACCUGGGAACUGCAUUUUGAAACUGGCAGGCUUGAGUCUUGUAGAGGGGGGUAGAAUUCCAGGUGUAGCGGUGAAAUGCGUAGAGAUCUGGAGGAAUACCGGUGGCGAAGGCGGCCCCUGGGACAAGACUGACGCUCAGGUGCGAAAGCGUGGGGAGCAAACGAGGAUUAGAUACC